GUCCGGAUGGCGCAGUGGUCAGCGCAACUGCAUUAUAAGCAGGAAACCAGGGUUCGAUUCCCGGUCUGGCACU